AACGAACGCUGGCGGCAGGCUUAACACAUGCAAGUCGAGCGCCCCGCAAGGGGAGCGGCAGACGGGUGAGUAACGCGUGGGAACGUACCCUUUGCUACGGAAUAGCUCCGGGAAACUGGAAUUAAUACCGUAUGUGCCCUACGGGGGAAAGAUUUAUCGGCAAAGGAUCGGCCCGCGUUGGAUUAGCUAGUUGGUGGGGUAAUGGCCUACCAAGGCGACGAUCCAUAGCUGGUCUGAGAGGAUGAUCAGCCACAUUGGGACUGAGACACGGCCCAAACUCCUACGGGAGGCAGCAGUGGGGAAUAUUGGACAAUGGGCGCAAGCCUGAUCCAGCCAUGCCGCGUGAGUGAUGAAGGCCUUAGGGUUGUAAAGCUCUUUCACCGGAGAAGAUAAUGACGGUACCCACAGAAAAAGCCCCGGCUAACUUCGUGCCAGCCGCCGCAGUAACAC
rnacentral:rRNA from 1 species